rnacentral:rRNA from 1 species
UACGAAGGGGGCUAGCGUUGCUCGGAAUUACUGGGCGUAAAGCGCGUGUAGGCGGUUGCCCAAGUCGGGUGUGAAAGCCUUGAGCUCAACUCAAGAAUUGCACUCGAUACUUGGUGACUAGAGGACCGGAGAGGAUAGUGGAAUUCCCAGUGUAGUGGUGAAAUACGUAGAGAUUGGGAAGAACACCAGUGGCGAAGGCGGCUAUCUGGACGGUUUCUGACGCUAAGACGCGAAAGCGUGGGGAGCAAACAGG